AGUGAACGCUGGCGGUAGGCCUAACACAUGCAAGUCGAACGGCAGCACAGUGAGAGCUUGCUCUUGCGGGUGGCGAGUGGCGGACGGGUGAGGAAUGCAUCGGAAUCUACUUUUUCGUGGGGGAUAAUGAAGGGAAACUUACGCUAAUACAGCAUACGACCUCCGGGUGAAAGCAGGGGAUGUUCUGACCUUGCGCGAUGGAAUGAGCCGAUGACGGAUUAGAUAGUUGGCGGGUUAAAGGGCCACCAAGGCGACGAGCGGUAGAUGGUCUGAGCGGGUGGUCACCCACACGGGAACUGAGGCACAGUCCACACUCCGACGGGAGGAAGCGGUGCGGAAUAUUAGACAAAGGGGGCAAGCCGAAUCCAGCAAUACCGCGUGAGUCAAGAAGGCCUUCGGGUUGUAAAGUCCUUUUGUUGGUAGAGAAAAGCAGCAGGUUAAUACCCCGCGAUUCUGACGGUACCCAAAGAAUAAGCACCGGCUAACUUCGUG
rnacentral:rRNA from 1 species